GGCCGCCCUGACCCCUCGGCAGCAGGGAGCCCCUGGGAAGGGCGCCGCAUCGACUACAUCCUGUACCGCGAGCACCCUGCCCCCAUCAGCCUGACAACGGAGGUGGAGAAGUUUUCCUUCAUCACCCAGCUGGCCGGGUGCUCGGACCACAUGGCUGUCGGUCUGCGGCUGCUCCUGAACCCUCCACCGCAGUGGCAGCAGGAAAUGUGAACCCCGGUGUCCGGGGCAGAAGAUCGAUGGACAGUGCUGAUUAUGGUGGGGUGGGGCUGGGCCCUUCCCCUCCAUGUGCCCUCCCCCCACCAGACUCGGGUAGGCUGCGAGCUCUGGGAUCAGAUGGAGCUGGCUGGGCCAAGAGGCCCCUGGGGCUGUGCAAGGCUGUGUGGGGCUAGAGUCGCCCCCGGGGGCUCUGAUGGUCCCAUGGGAGGUGGGUCUGUGCUGGCCAGAGCCCCCCUGCUCAGUGCCCCAGGAGGGGGACAGCCCCAGCACCUGGUUUCCAGGCUGGCAGAGGCCCCAGGUUGAGGCUCUACUGCACCAGUGGGGCCCAGCACCCAUGGGUCUGGGUUCAGGGUCCCCAGGGGGUCACAGGGGUGUGGAGCUGCCUCUGCAGACCUCACCCACUGCAGCAGGACGACGGGACGGCUAUUUCCCAGGCUGCCAGCCGGCUUCUCCCCCCGGCUCAGUGCCAUGGGCUCCUUGGCCCCCUCCCCAGCCCGUAAGCUGGGUGUUAGCUGGGCAGGGGCUCCCCAGCACUGGCGUGGGGACCGUGUCUGCCCCUGCUCAGCACCACGAGGCCUGUCUGUCCCCCAGCAGGGCAGAGUGCUCUUCAGCUGCGCCGUGGUUGCCAGGAGGAGCUCCCCACUGACCCUGCUCACCCAGCCUUGGCAGUGUGCCCCUGUGGGGUCGGGAGCUGGAAUUAAUAAAGCUUCCAAAGCA